AGUCUCCAAGGCGGCAGUUGAGAAUCCUUCCGCGCACACGCACAUCUCUCUGGCUGGAAGAAGAGAUUCUCCUCCAUUAUAGGUUAUUACAAAAUAUUGAAUAUAGUUCCCUGUGCUAUAUGGUACUAAAGACAUGACAGUAGCUGAAGAAGCAUAGAUGUGCCACCUGCUGUCACAGGGAUUCUGAUGUCUCUGAUGUGUCAGACCAAAAGUCAAUGUUUGUGCAUGGGCCACAUGUAUGGCAUAUGGGAGUUCCCAGGCUAAGGACUGAGUUGGAGCUGCACCUGCCGGCCUACACCACAGCCACAGCAAUGCCAGAUCCAGGGCUUGUAUGCGACCUCCACCGCAGCUCACGGCAAUGCUGGAUCAUUACCUCACUGAUCGGGGACCCUCAACCUCAUGGAUACUAGUCGGGAUUGUUUCCACUGUGCCACAACGGGAACAUUGUUGAUCCCCUCUUGUAUGCCUGGACAUGGGGGUCUGCUCCUGUGCAGACGAGUGUGGACAGCUAGCAGGAUCAAGAACCAGUGCCUUGAGCUGCUUGGGCUGCCUGACAAAGUACUGCAGGCUGGGCCGCUUACACAGCAGGAUUUUAUUUUCCCACAGUUCUGGAGGCUGGAAGUCCUUAAAGAUGUGGUUUCUCCCAAUGUCUUUCUCUUUGGCGUGCAGACAGCCACCUUCCUUCCAUAUCCUCACAUGGCCUUUGCUCUGUGUGUGUGUCGCUGACACUCUUGUGUCCUCAUCUCCUCUUCUUAUAAGGACAUCAGUCAGCCUGGAUCAGGGCCCACUCUCAGGGCCUCAUUUUAAUUUCAUCACCUCUUUAAAACUCCAUCUCCAAACAGAGUCAUGUACUGAGAUGCUGGGGGUUAGGGUUUCAGUGUAUGAAAGACAGUGGCAGAGUUCCAGCCUGGCUCAGCCAGUUAAGGAUCUGGUGUUGUCACUGCAGUGUCGAGGGUAGCUGCUGUGGCGAGGGUUCAAUCCUCAGCCCCAGGAACUUCCACGUGCCUUGGGCACGGCCAAAAAAAUAAUAAUAAAUAAAAGAAACGGCAGGUAUGGACACACUUCAUCCCAAUUUGAUUGUCGUCCUUGACCAAGAUCAUGGGACCUUCACUACCGCCCUCUAAAUUGGGGCUAGAAGUUUGCUUUUCCCCAGCAACAUCAAGAUUCACAAGUAAGUCUGAACCCUGAACACUGCGCUUGUGGGCAAACUACCAGGAAGCAAGCCCCCCAGGCUCUUUCCCCUCUGGGCUCUUUUUAUCUAACCAUCCACCGACUGCAGUACAAUGGUGGCCUGUGUAGACCAAGGGAAGCAACUGUAUCCAGUUGCUCUGAGUGUUGGCUAAACACAUUGAAAAGGAAACAUCUGCUUACACUCUCUUUUUCUUUCUUUUUCCCCUUUGAAUGGCUCGAAAGUGAAAAAAGUGCAUCUCAGUAACUCUGCUGCCCAGGGCUGGAUUCCUGCCUCCAGUAAUUCCUUCUGUGCUUGUUGCAUUCAUAUUCUCGCUCGGAAGCAUUUCAAACACUGCUGAUUUAUUCUUCCAGGAAUUUGAAUGAAGGUAGCUCUGUGGAGCCAAGUUGUUCCUGCUCUUCGGAUGGGAUUUCACGGUCUAUCUGCCAACUUCUUAAGAGCACCCACUCCUUCCAGUUUUCCGGGUUUAUUCUGAUUACAAUUGCUCUUAGUCAUCUUAAUCUUGAAAUAAAGAGCUUUUGGGCCCAGCAGUGUAUUAUAGCCACCAAAACAUUUACUUUAUUUACUUUCAUCCUUCCAGACAGUGUGAAAGAACCACUUAAAAAUGUUUUAAAAAAGAAUGUUUGGAAAUGUGACUGGGUCAUCACAAUGCAUUGCUUGCACCAUGCUCUGAAAAUCCGUUCCCAAAUUUAAAAUUCAAUUUCCCUUUAGAAGGCAGCCAGUCAUAAGAAGCUAAAGAUCAGUGUAGGUUUAUAUACAACCAUUUUUCUCUCUGCUUUUCAAACCCUUUGUAAACAUGCAAUACUGGGAAAUCCAGGUACUACAUGGCAUCGUAGCUGCUUGUCUUGAACGGCUGCAAAAAAUAUGGUGCAGAGUCUCACUGCCUCUCGCUUUAAGUUAUAAGGGCCUCCUUUGGUGGAGAAUGAAGAGCAAGCAUCUGCUUAUUCAGACCUCUCUCUCUUUACACCUGAGAGGAAGCCAGGCAGACGUGUGUUCUGUACUGGUUCUACUAUGGAUUCCUUCUGUGACUUAAGAGAUCAUUUUACAUCCCAUUGCCUCAUGUCCCUUCUCAUUAAGAAGGCAGUACUUCUCCAGGUUUCCUUCUCACAGGAGUAUUGUGUGGAACAAUGGAGGGUUAAUUAAUUGAAGGACAACCAUGCAAGAGAAAUAAUGAGGAUUUCUAUUGCAUUUCCUUGGCUUUGAGUAAAGCCACUCCUAAAUCAAUUUCAAUCAGAAGCUUAAGGCCUCAAUUUUUUAUUACUUGUCACACUUUGAGGUUUAAAAUGAACAUGAAUCUCUUGAAUAUAAUUUUUCCCAAAUUAGAUAUUUUUUUUCCCCUGCAAGACUGGUUUCUAAUACCUACUUCACUGGGUUAAUCAAUAAGUUAUGUUGCAUUAAAUUUAGUAGAUUUAUUGUGAAUCAAUGAAAAUGGCAGAUUUUUUUUCUUUGCUAUCACAUGUGUUCUACUACUGCUGUUGCUUUUGCUUGUUUAAGUUAAAUGGGUGAAAUCCCAUUGUUCAAUAUGAGUUUGCUUUUUUCCGUCUUUUACUUUCAGAGAUAAUCUUGGCCAAAACCCAGGGCAAAAUCAUGACAGACCUUGAAUGGAAAGUCAAUGACUUUCGAAAAAAAAAUAAUAAUAACCUUUGCUCACCUGCUGACUAUCCAAAUGCUGGUUUUCUUGGGAGAACA
ensembl:lncRNA